rnacentral:rRNA from 1 species
CCCUGCUCAAUGGAUUACUAAAUAGCCGCAGUACUUUGACUGUGCAAAGGUAGCAUAAUCAUUUGGCUUAUAAUUGAAGUCUGGUAUGAAUGGGUAAAUGGAUAAUAACUAUCUCUCCAUAAUAAACUGAAUUUACUUAUUAAGUGAAAAUUCUUAUAUAAAAAUAAUAGACGAGAAGACCCUAGAAAUUUUUUAAAUAUAUAUUAAGAUAUUCUAUUUUGUUGGGGCGACAAGGUAGCAAUAAACCUACCUAUAAAAUAUAAAAAAUUAAUGAGAUAAAUAAUUAAAUUACUCUAGGGAUAACAGCAUAAUGUAUAAGAGUUUGUGACCUCGAUGUUGGACUAGGUAAAUUAAUGUUUAAAAGAUAUUAG